rnacentral:rRNA from 1 species
AUUGAACGCUGGCGGCAGGCUUAACACAUGCAAGUCGAGCGGAGCGAGGGUGCUUGCACCUUAGCUUAGCGGCGGACGGGUGAGUAAUGCUUAGGAAUCUGCCUAUUAGUGGGGGACAACAUUCCGAAAGGGAUGCUAAUACCGCAUACGCCCUACGGGGGAAAGCAGGGGAUCUUCGGACCUUGCGCUAAUAGAUGAGCCUAAGUCGGAUUAGCUAGUUGGUGGGGUAAAGGCCUACCAAGGCGACGAUCUGUAGCGGGUCUGAGAGGAUGAUCCGCCACACUGGGACUGAGACACGGCCCAGACUCCUACGGGAGGCAGCAGUGGGGAAUAUUGGACAAUGGGGGGAACCCUGAUCCAGCCAUGCCGCGUGUGUGAAGAAGGCCUUUUGGUUGUAAAGCACUUUAAGCGAGGAGGAGGCGCUCUAGGAUAAUACCCUAGAUGCG